CGCAGCGAUACUGACGUGCAA
rnacentral:siRNA from 1 species